AAACUAUAAUAAUAUARAAUUGAUAGUUCCCGAAAAUAAAAGAUCUAAAAAUAUGUUAACAUUUUGACUUACUACAUAUAUUGUCGCAUUACUAUAUAAAGAUGUGUUUUUAGGGGUGAAAGACCUCCACUUUUAUUGAUAUCUGGAUAAGUGUUAAAUAAAUUUAGUUUAAUAUAUAGUUACAAUGUGAUAAGAUAUUGUAAAUGGAAAUUGUUAUAUACACAUAUCAAGGUUCUUAACUAAUACUUAGUGACCCUACUCUUGUACUGAUACACCUAUGCUUAUUAUUCCUUAUUAAUAUUUUAUUUUGGUUAAGUUAUAUUAAAAUAAAUAAUGUAUAAAUUAGUAUAUAUAAUAAAUUUAAUUGAAGGAAUUCGGCAAAUAUUUUAUACGACUGUUUAUCAAAAACAUAGCCAGUAGGUGUUAAUUAUUGGUGUGACCUGCCCAGUGAAUUUUUAACGGCCGCAGUACCCUGACUGUGCAAAGGUAGCAUAAUCAUUUGGCUUUUAAUUGAAGUCUCGUAUGAAAGGAAAAACGUAUAAAGACUGUCUCAGAAGUAAAUUUAUUUAAGUUGCUUUAUAAGGUGAAAAUACCUUAAAUUAAAAAAAUAGACGAGAAGACCCUUAGAAUUUUAAUAAAAGUCAGUAACUAUAUCUGAGGUAAUUUUUGUUGGGGCAACAUUUUUUCAUGUAAUAAAAAUAACCUAUUAAGUAUAUAACGAAUAAGCGUAAUAAAGUAAAAAUUACCUAAGGGAUAACAGCAUAAUUUUAAAUAAAGAUUGUGACCUCGAUGUUGGACUAGGAACUAUUAAGGCUAGUCGUUUUAAUAUAAUAGGUUCUGUUCGAACUUUAUUUCCUACAUGAU
rnacentral:rRNA from 1 species